rnacentral:rRNA from 1 species
UACGGGGGGGGCAAGCGUUGUUCGGAAUUACUGGGCGUAAAGGGCUCGUAGGUGGCCAACUAAGUCAGACGUGAAAUCCCUCGGCUUAACCGGGGAACUGCGUCUGAUACUGGAUGGCUUGAGUUCGGGAGAGGGAUGCGGAAUUCCAGGUGUAGCGGUGAAAUGCGUAGAUAUCUGGAGGAACACCGGUGGCGAAGGCGGCAUCCUGGACCGACACUGACGAUCAGGUGCGAAAGCGUGGGGAGCAAACAGG